rnacentral:vault_RNA from 1 species
GGGCCGGCUCUAGCUCAGCGGUUACUUCUUUCCUUCAUGCUUUUUGAACCACCAGCCCCUCCGGGGGUUCGAGACCCGCGGGCGCUAAUCGGCCUUUUU